rnacentral:rRNA from 1 species
UACGUAGGGGGCUAGCGUUGUCCGGAAUCAUUGGGCGUAAAGCGCGUGUAGGCGGUCCGGUAAGUCCGCUGUGAAAGUCGAGGGCUCAACCCUCGAAAGCCGGUGGAUACUGUCGGGCUCGAGUGCGGGAGAGGCGAGUGGAAUUCCUGGUGUAGCGGUGAAAUGCGCAGAUAUCAGGAGGAACACCGAUGGCGAAGGCAGGUCUCUGGGCCGAUACUGACGCUGAGGAGCGAAAGCGUGGGGAGCGAACCGG